rnacentral:piRNA from 1 species
UGCAGAUGUGGACUCAGAGCUGAAGG